UCAACACUUGUACAUAGUGCCAUUUACUUUGUGUUCUUCACUCUCGCGUUGUGUUUUGAUCGUUCGAAACUCAUUGCCAGAACGAAUGCAAAUUUCAUUUGGGAAGGAUCGGUGCCGGAAGAUGCAGCGAAAAUUAUGAAAUUAUAAUAGAAAAGUGGUUAAGUAAAUCGUGAAAGAUGUCAACGCAGGCGUAAAUGCAGUUUGUUUUGUUACUUGAUCUACGGCAAUUUCAUUACCAAAGCACCUGAUAACCGAUCAAAGAAGGUGAAUCAGGCUUACAGAGUCGCCGUUUAACUUCAAAUAUCUUCGUGAUCGGAAAACGCAUCAAACAGCAAGUGUUUUUCUUCCAACAGCACGCGCCAUCGGUGGAGCAAGCAGCCAACGUUUCGUUCGUCUAGCACGCACCAUCAAGAAUUGAAAUAUUCCCGAAUAGCUCUGUGAAUAAAAAACUGCACAUUUACUGUCCGAAUUUC